UUGGGUCGAAAUAUUUUGAGGCAAACAUGAUAUUGGGCUAUGUAAAAUACCAAACCUGUUGUUAAUUUCCGACCCACCCAAAAAGAUGUUGGCACCCUGCCCCCUUUCUCUCUGCUUCAGAACUCUGCUACCGUGGGUUUUUCACAUUAAACAGAAAGAAAUUAAAGAAGGAGGUAAUCUUCGCAUUUUAUCUCUAUUAUCAUUACACGUUACAAAUAACAGUAAGUAGAUUAAGAGAUUUGUCGGGAGUAUCAGGGAUUUUGGUGAUAGUAGUUGUAAUCUCAUUUGACUGACGGACGGACGGACGACCGAGUAAUGGUUAACUUUCAAGAUCAUAUAUUAAAUUUUUUGGGUCCGCUGUCUAGAUUACUUCGGUGGACUUGACUGUAGCCAAGAUAAAUAGUAGCUGUCAGCUACAAAGAUUUUACUUCUUUAGAUGCAUAUGGAAUACUUUACUUGUAAAUUUUCAAUGGAAAUUACAAAGAAAGUAGGACUCUUUUUUCCUGCAUAGGUAUUCUAGUUCCAAUCUAUUUAUGUGGAUCAAUAAAUGAUUGAAUAAGUAUCAGAAAUUUAAUGAUAUUGUUGCAUAUGAGAUGGCUGUCAUGAGCAAAUUCAACUGGGUUUAUAGAUAUUGUAAUAGUAGUUUAUUUUCAAAUCACUGGUUUGCUUAGGUCUACAUCUGACAUCACUUCCGGUUGAUUCUGGGUUUAUUUUCUUAGGUUUCAGGCAAUAGGGCCGUAUUAUUUUUCUGUGGUCAUUAACAUCUAGGAUAGAAUUGUUCCCUUCUUCUCUACACUAAAAAAUUCUAGGUGUAAUUAGUCAGGAAAGCAAGGAUUUUACACUUGGGGAUUCUUUUAUGAAAGUUAUAAAUCAAAAUGAUGGCCUUCUAACUCUCUUAACUCAGGACUGCAGAUUCUUGGGUGAAACUUGAUGUUGGAUUUGCAGUUUGCCUUCAGACCAUGUCAAUUGCUUGGAACGGUUUAAAGUUGAACAGAUCAGCACUUUCAUCACCAUUUUUGCUGUCUACCUUCCAGAGGAACCUGGCCAUGCUGAUGCGUAUCAGUCCCUUUUGCAAUUUUUUGCCCCUUCUUUCUACAGUCAGCACACAUGGUUAACAGUUAUCCUGUAAGUAUUUAAUGUUUCAAGAUUACAGCCAUAAUGUGUUCACUAAAUUUUUAGUUUCUUCAACGUUGGUUAUAGUCAGAAUUAUUAACUUAACUUUUCCAAAAUAAGCAAGCAUAUAAACAAAUGCACGGAAACGUUUACGAAAUAAUGUAAAUAUCCACAUUCUCCUUCCUAAAGAACGUCACACAUCCUCUUCUAAUGUUUCUGUGUUAUUCCUAUUACUAUAGAACUGGGAAGAACCCCUAGAAAUCAUCCUCUGAUUUGUUGAAAGAUGUUGACCCGGGCCUUUCUGGCGUAAAAUAUGAUUGCAAGUUUUGGAACAUUACUGAAGCCCUUGUUGACGG
rnacentral:lncRNA from 1 species